CUUCAAACAAUGCUGACAUGUUUCACGUCGAUUAAUUACAGCAUUUGUGGUGUAUUGAAAUCAUUGAGUGUAUCGAAUGGAAUCGUUUAACCUACGCGCACAAGUUUGUAAGGAGCGAUCGCCGGCGGUCCUUUCUGGCUUCACAAGGAUGAGUCACAUUAACACCGACACGAUGGGUCACGUUAAUAAUCAUUUUACGUUAAGACUCCGAUGGUUAGAGUUUGGUUUAGCUUGCUGCCUAAAAAACGAAGCUAAAAGAUGGGACUCCAGAAGGAGGACAUCGUUUUUAAAACUUUUGCCUUCACUCAUUUUAUUUACAUUCCUCAGUUUUGUCUGGAGAGUCAGCCGUAAUUUUCUUGCAUCUUUUUGUGGCGGCUUUAAAUAAUACUAGAUGAUGACCGAGCUUUGCUCGGCUUUUUUUUUAUAACACCAUCAUGUUGUGUCUUUAAAGCAGUAAAAAUAGUAUUACUAUUCGCCAAUAGAUGUCGGGAAGAGUCAUGAAGUUGAUUAUUGAUUAUUGAAAACACGAAUAAAACAACAUUUUUUGAAAAUAAA